UACUUAUCAUCAACGGAAACUGGUCCUAUAGUGCCACCGGUUUUCAUUUUUGUUGUAGAUACUUGCAUGAUUGAAGAAGAAAUAUCUGAAGUCUGCAUUGGCACAAGCUGUUGAGCUAUUGCCAGAUAAUUCCCUUGUUGGAUUCAUUACUUUUGGAACAUAUGUGCAGGUUCAUGAGUUGGGUUUUGGCUUGUUGCCAAAAUCAUAUGUGUUCAAGGGAACAAAGGAGGUCACCAAGGAACAAAUAUUGGAACAAAUGUGCUUCUUUGCAGGGAAGCAAAAGCCCACCACUGGGGUGAUUGCUGGUACCAGAGAUGGUCUUUCAUCUGAGAGCAUUGCUAGGUUCCUGCUGCCUGCUUCUGAAUGCGAGUUUGUGUUGAACUCAGUUAUAGAAGAAAUGCAAAAGGACCCUUGGCCUGUUCCAGCUGAUCAACGGGCAUCAAGGUGCACUGGAGUUGCCUUAAGUGUUGCAGCCAAUCG